AUUGAACGCUGGCGGCAUGCCUUACACAUGCAAGUCGAACGGUAACGCGGGGCAACCUGGCGACGAGUGGCGAACGGGUGAGUAAUGCAUCGGAACGUGCCCAGCAGUGGGGGAUAGCCCGGCGAAAGCCGGAUUAAUACCGCAUACGACCUAUGGGUGAAAGCGGGGGAUCGAAAGACCUCGCGCUAUUGGAGCGGCCACUGGCAGAUUAGGUUGUUGGUGGGGUAAAAGCCUACCAAGCCUGCGAUCUGUAGCUGGUCUGAGAGGACGACCAGCCACACUGGGACUGAGACACGGCCCAGACUCCUACGGGAGGCAGCAGUGGGGAAUUUUGGACAAUGGGCGCAAGCCUGAUCCAGCCAUGCCGCGUGCGGGAAGAAGGCCUUCGGGUUGUGAACCGCUUUUGUCGGGGAAGAAAUCUUCUGGGCUAAUACCUUGGGAGGAUGACGGUACCCGAAGAAUAAGCACCGGCUAACUACGUGCCAGCCGCCGCCGUAA
rnacentral:rRNA from 1 species